rnacentral:rRNA from 1 species
AGUGUGGCAUAGGGUACUGGAAUUCCUGGUGUAGCAGUGAAAUGCGUAGAGAUCAUGAGGAACAUCCGUGGCGAAGGCGACUGCCUGGGCCAACACUGACACUGAGGCACGAAAGCGUGGGGAGCAAACAGGAUUAGAUACCCUGGUAGUCCACGCCCUAAACGAUGCGAACUGGAUGUUGGGUGCAAUUUGGCACGCAGUAUCGAAGC